GCCCCGCCCUGCGCAGUGAGGGGCCCCCAGGAGUCUGCCUGAAUGGAGAGGAAACAGGGCAGCGACAGGGCAGGUGGCAGCACAAGUUCUAGCAGAGGGUGCACCUGGUCUGUCACGGCAAGAUGUAGACAACCCCAGUGGAGUCACCACAUGCAGAGGGGACAGGACUGCUGGAAACCGCACUCGUGGGGGAUGGACGGAGCAGGAGCAGGGCAUGAAGGAACCCCCGGACUCUUUCCACACCUUCCUGUGACAUCCAAAGGAGCAAUGGGGAAAGGACUUGCAAGACAGCCCCCCCAAAGACCGGCAAGUUCUUGCUUACGGGUUCCUCCCGAGGCUGGAGAGAAAGGCCCUACUCCGUCCUCAUCUGGCCUUCGAGGACAGUGGUCCAGAGAGGAUGGAGAUACGGCCGUAGCCACAGAGCUUCCCGCCCCCAGAAGCCAGGCUUUGCUCAUCCCACAGCAACCCCCACACGACCACAGCAUGCACACACGAGCGCUUCAGCUCCCCGCCUUCUCCAAACCCUGGCUCUCGGUCACUCAGCUGUGGGCAGCGGGCCUCACAGGCCACAGAGGACAACGGGCUCACGAGGAGGAGAGACAUGAGCAGAGCCUGAGCCCUCAGAAGGAUCUAAAAUGGGGUGUGUUGGAGAGAGGGGUGUGGACCUCUCUGACAAGAUUCCAGCUUGGGCUCUGACACGUGAGGCGCCCUGGCCCUGCUCACCCCAAGUCCACGUGGGCACUCAGGGGCCUCUCCCUGGAAAACCGAAGUCACGGCUCACUGGACUCCAAGAAUGCUGCUGCCAGAGACCGAGCAUGCAGGCAGCUGUGUUCUGCGGGCGCAGGCACCUGGGCCAGCACCCCGCAAUCCCAACCUCUCUUCCUGGAGAGGGGGUUUGCCCACGGAGAUGGGCAGCCGACUCUGUCCAGCACACACACCGCACCAGGCCCCGGCCACUGUCCAUGUGUAUGAGCCACUUCCCUGCACGCCUCUCUGCACGCCAUCCUGAGGGUGAGAAGUACUGAUGCGAACAGGCCAGAGUCCAUAACACUGUCCAGGACGUGGCUUCAUGGAAUCGUCUGGGAGCUGACAAAAUGCUGACGCUGGGGUCUCACCCCCAGGGGCUCUGACCUGAGGGACAGCUGGGCCUCAAGAAUUGGACGAGUUCCCAGGACACUCUAAAACACAGUACAGCGUGAGGACUCCUAGUUCAGACGAUGGUUUUUCAAACUUGCAUGUGCAUUAGAACUACCUGGAGAGCUUUGGAAAUACGUGACCGACUCCUCCCCAGACUAAUUCAAUCAUCUCAGUGAGGCGGGGACUCAGCAGGAACCAGCAGGUGAGAACAGGAGACCAGAGCCUGUACGACCAGUGAAAAUCGACGACUGGAAAGAGAUGGAGUUAGAUGUGCCGGUUCCUGUCCACAGAGCAACAACCCCCACACUUGCCCAUUCUGCUCAGUUUUAAAAAGACGGCUGUCUGCAGGUGCCCUCUCCACGUUUAUCAAGCGCUAACUCGGCAAGUCCAAGUUCUAAAGAUCCAUUUGCACUUGAGCAUGGGGUGGGGUCAGGUAGGAUGGGGUCAGGCAGGAGGUGGCCAUACGGCUGUCCUGGGCCAUGGUGCUCACUGCCAGCUCAGCUGGGUAGGGUAUGGACAAUUAGGGGCAGGAAGUGGGGGACAGACAGCCCAGGGUAGACCAUCGUGAGAGAAUAAACCAAACAGAUUUCAAUAUCUGUCCUGGC